AUUCAACUGACGAGUCCCAAGUUGGGACAAAACGCGCGUCCUCAAU
rnacentral:hammerhead_ribozyme from 1 species